AGCGAACGCUGGCGGCAGGCCUAACACAUGCAAGUCGAACGGACCCUUCGGGGUUAGUGGCGGACGGGUGAGUAACACGUGGGAACGUGCCUUUAGGUUCGGAAUAGCUCCUGGAAACGGGUGGUAAUGCCGAAUGUGCCCUUCGGGGGAAAGAUUUAUCGCCUUUAGAGCGGCCCGCGUCUGAUUAGCGAGUUGGUGAGGUAAUGGCUCACCAAGGCGACGAUCAGUAGCUGGUCUGAGAGGAUGACCAGCCACACUGGGACUGAGACACGGCCCAGACUCCUACGGGAGGCAGCAGUGGGGAAUCUUGCGCAAUGGGCGGAAGCCUGACGCAGCCAUGCCGCGUGAAUGAUGAAGGUCUUAGGAUUGUAAAAUUCUUUCACCGGGGACGAUAAUGACGGUACCCGGAGAAGAAGCCCCGGCUAACUUCGUGCCAGCCGCCGCAGUAA
rnacentral:rRNA from 1 species